rnacentral:rRNA from 1 species
CCCAGAGUCUUCUUUACUUCUCCGUUCUUCUUUCCCGUAAUUAUUUCACACAGUGAGAAUGUUUGUCUUUGCUGAGAUCCCCUUUCUCCUAUCCUUAUUCUCUCAGCUCACCCACAAAUUGCUGCUACCGGACAGAUCCAAUCAGCUUGCUUUCUUUACUCGCUGCAUUGAGGUUGCUCGUCCUCCACCUGAAUCCACUCCGCUGCUGGUUCUGCUACAGGUUUAGCAUCGACGGCAGCUGGUUUGGCUGCUCGUACGCCUCAUCGGUCUCUUGUAAAUGGCGAUGGAGGGGUAGCAGCGCUCAAGGAUUAGCUGCGCCAGGGAGAUAGUGAGAUCGACUUGGUAAUGGAUUUCAUCUCCCGCGGGCUCGCAGUCCUCUUGGAUCCAGCUUUAGUAUGAGGAUGCUGACGGCAUUUUCUUCCCCAAGAGCACAAGCCAGAAGCAUCAUCUAUAUAUCCACUCGAGGCAGCUCGGCACUUCACAGCAACAUUAUUCGAAGUUCAACCUGCAGGUAGUUGCUUUGCAUGCUAUCGCAACUCAGAUGGAGCUGGUGGCAUCAGGACAUGAAGCCGCUAUCGAAUUUAAGGUUGAUCAGAUAUGAAAACCAUAUAAUGCAUCAUACAUAUUUCUCUAUAUCAUAGCAAGCAAUCCCAUUUGUUUAUGUUACAGUUGUAGUAUGGUUCUAGUCUUCUAGAGUAUGUAUUAUCCUAAUGUGAAUACAUUGGAACCAACAUCCACGCAUCAACCUUCUCUGGAUGAGUAAAAGUAUGAACCCAGACAUAUAGAAUUGCAUUACUUAAUAUCGAAUACACAUGAUAGUUUUUUCUAUUUGUAGAUUAUCAACCUUUUGAGCUAACAUUUCAAACCUUUUUGAUGAGCACUUCUUAGAGCAUAACUGAUGUAUUAUUGAUCCAUUAAUAGGUCUGAUUAUUGUACAUAAUCAACCUUCUGAACUAACAUGGCAAAUCUUUUUAGAUGAGCAAUCCCUAGAGCAUAAUUGAGGUUUUAUUGGUCCAUUAAUAGUUCCGAUCUAUAAUUUCGUGAAGAUUGUACCUAGAGGUGGUUUGAUUGCUCGACGGAGCCGGCUGGUGCCUGCUGGAGGAAGACAAUGAAGUUGACCUCGAAGAACAUGAGAUUUUGGUUGUAUGUGGACUCUAAAGAGAUAUUCUUCUAUUUGGAGAGACUGAAUCUCUGUACAUUGUUUGUGAGAUUUUGGAUUUGUUUGGAGAGUUUUGUACAAGUUCAUGUUUUUUUGUGUGGGAGGAUCAUGAGAGUUUGUUCAUGUUAUGGUUGCCGAGAGAAUAUAACCUGUAGGCACUAUUUUUAAGGAGGUCUAGUCACUCGUGCUAUUGUCCAGCCUGUUUAGAUCGGGAGAUUGAGUAUAAGGGAUCUCACGGAAGAGUUUCCAUCUCUAUGUUUUUUUGGGUAUUUUUUGGUCGCUCAUGGCCUCCUGGGAUAGUCCAGCCUUUGUACCUAUUGUGAUCUCACGGCACGGGCCCAUCUGGUUUAUGUAGAUCUAAUGGCUAUUCUCUGUUAAUCGGAAAUAGACACACCGAAUUAAAUGUCGGAUGUUUCUAAUUAUAGUGGGAUUUUUAAGCUAAUUAUCUUUAUUCUGAUAAGCCCGUCAAAUACUUUUUAGAUAUAAUAGAUGAUAGACUAUUGCUUUGAAUCACUUGUGUCUUAAUAUUCAUGCUAUACUUAGAUACAUGAUCAAGAUUAUGCUAGGUAGCAUUCCACAUCAAAAAUUAUCUUUUUUUUAUCAUUUACCUACUCAAGGACGAGCAGGAAUUAAGCUUGGGGAUGCUGAUACGUUUCCGUCGUAUCUAUAAUUUUUAAUUGUUUCAUGCUAAUAUUAUUCAACUUUCAUAUACUUUUGGAAACCUUUUAUACUAUUUUUUUGGACUAACAUAUUGAUCCAGUGCCUAGUGCCAGUUCCUGUUUGUUGCAUGUUUUAUAUUUUGCAGAAACCCAAUAUCGAACGGAGUUCAAACGGGAUAAAAACGGGCAGAGAAUUAUUUUGAAAUAUUUGUGAUUUUUGGGAGGAAGAAUCAACGCGAGACGGUGCCCGAGGUGGCAACAAGGGUAGCCCACGCCACCACUCCAGGUGGGCGCGCCCCCCACCCUCAUGGGCCCCUUGUAAGGAGGUUGGUGCUCUACUUUGGCCGCAAGAAAAGCUAAUUUUUGAAAAAAUAUCUGGGCAAAGGUUUCAAUCCAUUCGGAGUUACGGAUCUCCAGAUAUAAAAGAAACGGUGCCAGGGCAGAAUCCGAGAAUGCAGAAACGGAGAGACAGAGAGAUAGAUCCAAUCUCGGAGGGGCUCUCGCGCCCUCCCAAGCCAUGGGAGCCAAGGACCCGAGGGGAAACCCUUCUCCGAUCUAGGGAGAAGGUCAAGGAAGAAGAAGAAGAAGGGGGGCUCUCUCCCCCUUGCUUCCGGUGGUGCCGGAACGCCGUCGGGGGCCAUCAUCAUCACCGUGAUCUUCACCAACACCCCCGCCAUCUUCACCAACAUCUCCAUCAUCUUCCCCCAUCUAUAUUCAGCGGCCCACUCUCCCAUAACCCGCUGUACCCUCUACUUGAACAUGGUGCUUUAUACUUCAUAUUAUUAUCCAACGAUGUGUUGCCAUCCUAUGAUGUCUGAGUAGAUUUUCAUUGUCC